rnacentral:lncRNA from 1 species
CACGGGUUCGGUCCGCCUGCGCCAUCAAGUUGUCUUUUUUGCCCACACGUUCAAUCUUUACAUUUUUGAUUUGGUGUUCUUCGACGGCUCUGUCACGACGGUGCCGGAGCAGUCGGAGGAUUUUCAGGCGGAAUCGAUGGGUAAGAUAGAGGUUAGAGGGUUUGAAUUUGCAGAUCUUGAACCCAUUUGAUUCAUUUUGAUUGUGCUUGUGAGUGGAGUAAUUAAUUGCCAUUGUUAAGGUUUUUUUCCCUCUUUUGGUAGAUUUCUCCUCUUCAAUUACAGAGCAGAUUUUCAGGCGAGUGUUCGAAGGAUUUUCAGACGGAAGGAAAGAUUUU